CAACUUGAAGCCACACAAGAAAUUCCAUUUGGCUUCAGAAUUGUCUGUGUUUGGGUUGUUUCUUUACAUGUCCAGAUUUUGAGACUCCACAGUGCUCCUGGAUUUUUGAUGCCUUAUGCUGGCUAAUCCUUAUAUAAUUUGUUUGUGAGCCAGUGUGGUCCAGUGGUUUGAGUGCUGGACUAAUAUUUCAAAGAUCAGGGUUUGAAUCCCCAUUUGCUGGCUGACUUUGAGCAAGCAACAUUCUCUCAGCCAUAACAGAAAGACAAUGGCAAACCUCCUCUGAAUAAUUCUUGCCAAGGACAGUGUCAUCAUAAAUCAUAACUGACAAAGGCACAUAACUAAACAACUAUAUAGUACCAGUGUGUACAGUAUUUUGCAGUGAGGUAUUCUGCAGGCUCUGCUCCAAAGAGAUUACAAUCUAAAUUUUAACACAGAGAAGGAGGGAGAUGGUUACGGUGCAAAUAAGGAUUCAAUUUUAAUUACAUAUGACGGCAAAUAUAAUAAUUAUGACCAUCCAUAUGUUGUUGGAAUUUUCUAGAUCACAGAUCCCCUACCCUUAUGCUUAGUUUUAGAAGGUGAAGGAGUGACAGGGUUUUGCGAUAGGCAUCAUGGAAAGUACAGGUUUGGGUGGAUUUGGAAGAAGAAAGAAAGGCAUCAUCGAACAGGUGUUGGGAGGACAGCUCGAAACAACAACAAGAUAAAGCAGCAGAGUUGGAGGAACACAACGGUCAUGGUGAGAGAUACAUCAGGGUAUGAUGUGACAAAGAGGGAACUUAGCGAUUAGAAAGCUGUAAUCAAAAAUUCUUUUCUCCUGGAGCAGCAUCCCAUCGCCUUGUGUUCUUGAUUUAUCCACAGAUGAAAUACACUUUGUUCCUUGUCUGUUCAUAGGAGUUCAUCCAUUCUGCAUGCUUGAAAAAUGUUGUUAGAGGAUCCACAGAACUGACGGUUUGCCACCUCCCUGUGGUAAUAUUUUUAUAGAUUGUUGAUGUUUCAGGAUCUCUGCCCAUAGUAAGCAGAAAAUGUAUUACGAGCUGAGUUUCUUGCUAGUUCUUUCAGAUGGCAGAAUUGUGUGUCGGAACAAAUUUCCAUCACUCCUACUGCCUUCAGGAAUGGAUUUGAGAAGAAUAUGUUUGAGAAAAGGAGCUUCUGGAGGCAGCAAAGAGAAACCUCCAAGUAUGCUACCAAAAACGGAGGGGGAAAAGGCAGAGGUGGGAAGGGAGCAAUAUAAUAAUGAAGAGAAAAUCUAUCAAGGCGGGGAAGACAUUGUCUUUGGACCAGUAAAGCCAAGUGUCUUGAAGCACCUAGAGAGGAUCCGCUGGUCAGCUCAGCCUGGGAAGGAAGCAGAAGACUCUUCCUCCCUCAUCCACUAGAAAUCCUACUGGCUGGAGAGGAUUGGCCCAGUGCCGCUCAGAAAGUCUUUUUCCCAGCCAUAAAGAGAACUACAAACUCACUUUAAAAAACCCCAAACUACUGAGUUUCUCAAGAUGCUGGAUUCUGUUCCUUCACCAUCAGUUUACUGAAUCAUAGAACAUUGACAGGCAGACUUGAGGGUC